UUUUUCUUCCCUUUCCUUCCUUUCUUUUUGGUUUAGAGAAGCCCUGUCAAUAUUUCCUUUAACCUGGGUUUUGUGUUGCUGUAUUCUUUAAGUUUUUGUUUGUUGGAAAAAAAUUGUAUUUCCCCUUCUAUUUUAAAUGAUAUUCUUGCUGGAUAAAGUAUUCUAGGUUGCAUAUUUUUUUCCUUUUAGCACUUUAAAUAUCUCUUGCCAUUCCCUCCUGGCCUGUAGUGUUUCUGUAGAGAAAUCAGCUGAUAAUCUUAGGGGGGUUCCCUUGUAGGUAACAUUCUGUUUUUCUCUUGCUGCCUUUAGGAUCCUCUUUAUCACUAACUUUUGCCGUUUUUAUUAUGAUGUGUCUUGGUGUGGGUCUAUUUGGGUUCAGUUUGUUUGGGUCCCUCUGUGCUUCUUGUAUCUUGAACCCGGUAUCCUUUAGAUUUGGGAAGUUUCCGUCGAUAAUUUCUUCAAAUAUAUUUUCCAUUCCCUUAUCUCUUUCUACUCCUUCUGGAAUUCCUAUUAUACGUAGAUUGGCCCGCUUUAUAUUAUCCCAUAGGUCUCAUAUUGCUUUCCAGUUUUUUUAUUCGGUUUUCUGUCUCCUGACCGGAUUGGGUAAUUUCCAUUAUUCUAUCUUCCAUAUCACUGAUUCGUUCUUCUGCAUUAUUCAUUCUGGUUUUUACUGCCCUUAGUUCAGUUUGCAUCUCUGCAAAUGAAUGUUCUAGUUUUUCUUGGCUCCUCCUUAUAUUUUCUAGUUCCUUUCUGAGGGUAUCUGCAUUACUGUUCAUAUCUUCUCUUAAUUCCUUCAGUAUUUUCACUAUUUCUCUUUUGAACUCCAGGUCUGUCUGACUGCAGAGAUCUGUUUCAUUGUUGACUGUUUUAGGUGAGUUCUCCUGUUGGUUUGACUGGAGGUGGUUUCUCAGCUUCUUCAUCUUGCUUGUUGUUUUCUUUCUCCUGAGGGAGUUAUACUCUCCGUGAUUGGGCAGUGUUUGCCUUGUCACUGCUGUGGAAUAUUUCCUGAGGGCUGGUGUUGUUGGUUAAUCUUUUUUGAGGCAGUGUGGCUUUUCUGGAGUGUUGAUGGGGCUAACAGUGUUUCUUUGAAGCAAAGGAGGACUUCCUGAGGGCAGACAGGACUGGGAGGUCCACCCCACGAUGGUAGCAGAUUUCACUUGGUCAUGCAGAGCUUGCUCUGGUGUUUUUAGGCUGUGGGGUUCUUGCAGGGGGUUGGCGGUGUUGGGCAGCUGUUCCUCAGGAGUGCAGCACCCCCUGGGGGCUGGAGCAGCUAUCUGGGUCACUGAGAACCUAAGAGGCUCUUCCCUAGGGCAGCCCAACUCAGAAGGAUGGCCUGAGAAUGUAGGCGGAUCUUUUCAUAGUCUGGCCAAGCUUGUUGCAGCUUUUCUGGGCUUCAGGGGCUCUUCCAGGGGGCUGGUGGUGCUGAGCAGCUAUUCUGGGGGAGUGGGGCACCCCCUGAGGGCUUAGGUGCCUAGCAGGGCCACUGAAAACCCAAGAGGCUCCUCCCAGGGCAGCCCAACUCAGAAAGACCGUCUGAGAUCUUUUCCCGGCUUGGCCAAGCUUCUUGCAGCUUUUCUGGGCUACAGGGGGUCCUGCCUGGAGCUGGAAGUCCUAUGCAGCUGAUCUGCUAGGUCUCGGCACCCCCUGGAGGCUUGGGCGGGUAGCAGGGCCGCUGGAACCCAAGAGGCUCCUCCCCAGGGCAGCCCGAUUAUCUGAGAAAUUCUUUAGCUCUCCUUACAUUCUAAUGAUAAUCCUGCUAGGUAGAAUAUUCUAGGUUGCAUGAUUUUCCAUUUUAAGACUUUGUAUAGGACUUCCCAUCAUGGCGCAGCAGAGAUGAAUCCAACUAGGAACCAUGAGGUUGAGUUCGAUCCAUGGCCUUGUUCACUGGGUGAAGUAUCUGGGGUUGCCAUGAGCUGUGGUGUAGGUCACAAACAUGGCUCAGCUCUGGCGUUGCUGUGGCUCCAGUAUAGGCCAGCGGCUACAGCUCUGAUUAGACCCUUAGCCUGGGAACUUCCAUAUGCAGUGGGUGCAACCCUAAAAAAGGACAAAAGGGCAAAAAAAAAAAAAAGACUGUAUAUAUUUUGCCUCUCCCUUCUUGCCUGUAGUGUUUCUUUAGAGAAAUCAGCUGAUAGCCUUAUAGGGGUCCCUUUGUAAUUAACUCUUUGUUUUUCCCUUGCUGCCUUUAGAAUACUCUCUUUAACUUCUACCAUUGUAACUAUAGUAUGUCUUGGUGUAAGUCUCUUUGGAUUCGUCUUGUUUGGGUCUCUCUGUUUCUUGAACCUGGAUAUCUGUUUGCUUCUUUAGGUUUGGAAAGUUUUCAGCCAUAAUUUCUUCAAAUACAUUUUCAAUCCCCUUUUCUCUUCUCCUUCUGGAAUCCCUAUUUUGCAUAGAUUGGCAUGCUUUAUAUUAUCCCGUAGGUCGCUUUUAUUGCUUUCAUUUUUUAAAUUUGGCUUCUGUCUCCUGUUCUGAUUGGGUGAUUCCCAUUAUUCUAUAUCCCAGGUCACUUACUUGUUCUUCUGUAUUACUCAUUCUGCUAUUCAUUACCUUUAGCUCAGCUUUCCUCUGUGCAAAUUAAUUUUCUAAUUUUUCUGGGCUCCAUUUACUUUCUAGUUGCUUUUUAUAGUAAUCUGCUUUUCCAUCAAUAGCCUUUCUUAAUUCCUUCAGUAUUUCUGUUAUUUCCUUUUUGAACUCAAUGUCUAUUAGACUGAAGAGGUCUGUUUCAUUUGUUCUUUCAGGGGAUGUCUCUUGGUCUUUCAACUUGGAGUGGUUUCUCUGCUUCUUCAUUUUGCAUAUAUUUCUCUUACUCUGUAAGUUUAAGAGAAACAGUUAUCUACUGUGGCAUUGGAAGGCUAUUUAUGUGCAGAGGUAUCCCUGUGUAGUUUGUGUGGGUUUAAUGUUUUUGGCAUGAAGGCUGUUUUUAGUAUGCAUGACUGCCACCUCUUUCCUCACUGUGUGCUGGCCAUUAUCCCCUUGAUAGGGAAUGUGCAGAUGCGGUGACUUUUGCGUUUCUGGAACCUGAGACAGUGGUGGCAGCAGCUGGCACACACUCCUGUAACCCACAGCACCAGCAGCAGUUAAUGACUGUUACCAGGUAACUCAGCACCAGCUCACACUCAUGCCCCACACUCCAAGACAGUGACAUCUGGUCACCUGAGAGCAUCAUGCACCUGGGGGAAAGGGUGGGUCCUGCCUCUCCCCUCAUGCAUCCCCCAAAAAAUGGCACUUCAUCUGUAUGGCAGGCCCAGGUUUCUUCCGCAUACACCCUUGGUUGUAGCUGCACCACACUCUGACCUCUUUAGGCCAUCCCUCGCAGUCAACUCCAGCCCCCUCCCCAGGUCUAACCUCUGAAGCCUGAGCUUUAGCACCCAGCCUCCACCCUCCCAGAGGAUGUGUCUCAAGCUGAGGAGUGCAGCACAGCAGCACCAGCCAUCUGUACAGGUCUCUCCAUUUUGCCUUCCACAUACCCUGUUGCUGCAUUCUCCUCCAAGGCUCCAAAGUUCCCCCUCCAUCCUGGCUGAUCUCCCUGCCAGUGAAGGGACUUCCCAUGGUGCAGGAACAUUGCCUCUUUUCACAGCUCCCUCCCAGGGGUGAAGGUCCUGUCUUGAUUCCUUUCACUCUCUCUCCCUCUUUUUUCUUUUUCCUCUUAUCCCACCCAGUUAUGUGGAGAUUUUCUUACCUUUUCAGAAAUCUGAGGUCUUCUGCCAGUGUUCAAUAGAUAUUCUGUGAGAAUUGUUCUACAUGUAGAUGUAUUUUUGAUGUAUUUGUAGGAGGAGGUGAGCUCCAUGUCCUACUACUCUAACAUCUUGAUUGCUCCCCUUACUUGCUGAGUUUAAAGCAUUUUUAUCUAUGGAAGAUUUAGAACCAGAGUAAUCAGUCACUUUAUUCAAAAACUUAUCAACUUUGCCUUUUCAAUAAGUUAUUAUUUAGGAUUGCUCUGAUCAUUUUAUUCCUCCGUAAUUAGCAUCCCUAUUAUUUACUUGAAGCUUUAUUUAAUCAUCUUAUUAUGUCUUUUCUUUCUCCUAUAUUCCUAACCCUUUUACUUUCCUCUGCCUCUUGCCUGUGUUGUAAGAUCUGACUGAAUAGUAAUACUACUCUUUCUCUUUAGUUCAGUCCAAGGUAAUUAGUUUAAAUGAAGCUGCUUACUGCUGCUGAGAAGAGGACAUUAGGCCUCACUACUAACAAAAAUGAAAAACCAGAAAUGUAAGUCUGUUCUCUUCAAAGACCUUUAGUGACACAUUGAGAUAAGUAAAAAUUUUUUUUCAGAGAGAAAAAAUACAUAUAAUGUGGUCAGUUAUGUAAACUGUUGUAACCCAUCUACUAAGCAAGUGCCUGUGCAACUGAGUCAUAGCAUUUACAAAGCUAAAGUUGGAGAAAGGAAUAUAGCUCAUUCUCCAAGCAUCUUCCCAUCACCUCUCUUCCAGCUGAAUAACCAGAAAAUCAGGGAAGCACUGGGCUAGCAAUACCUGACUUAUCAAAGUCUCCUUUGGAUGUAGAAAUAAUGGUCUUUCAUAAUGUCUAGAGAACUUUGUGACAAGUUUAGAAGACCUUUCCAACUGUGAGUUAAAAAUAUAAUAGAACAAAAAUAUUCCAAAAUGAAUGUUUUAGGAGUUCCCAUUUGGCUCAGCAGUUUACCUGACAUAGCAUUCGGAAGGCUACAAGUUCAAUCCUUGGCCUCCUGCAGUGGGUUAAGGAUUUGGUAUUGGCACAAGCUGCAGUAUGGGUUCCAGGUGAUUUGGAUUCAGCAUUGGUAUGGCUGUGGUGUAGGCCAGCAACUAUAGCUCUGAUUCAGCCUCUAGCCUAGGAACUUCCAUA
rnacentral:lncRNA from 1 species